UUCCUCAGUAGCUCAGUGGUAGAGCGAUCGGCUGUUAACCGAUUGGUCGUAGGUUCAAAUCCUUCCUGAGGAGUC
rnacentral:tRNA from 1 species